UGUAGCUCAGUUGGUAGAGCAACGGACUGUUAAUCCGUUUGUCCCUGACUUAAGCUCGAAUCAAAUAGCCA
rnacentral:tRNA from 1 species